rnacentral:tRNA from 1 species
GUCGGAAUAGCUCAGUUGGGAGAGCGUUAGACUGAAGUGUUUUACGCAACAGUCAUCUAAAUGCCCCCGAUUCAAUCCCGGUUUCCGACA